rnacentral:snoRNA from 1 species
UGGAUGUGAUGAGAACUUCCAGGCCUGACCAGUCUACCUGUGGAGGCUAAAACUGAUUUAAUGAGCCUGAUCC